AGUAAGGGAUAUUGCGCAAUGGACGAAAGUCAGACGCAGCGACGCCGCGUGGGCGAUGAAGGCCUUCGGGUUGUAAAGCCCUUUUAUGGGGGAAGAGAAAAAGGACGGUACCCCAGGAAUAAGUCCCGGCUAACUACGUGCCAGCAGCCGCGGUAAAACGUAGGGGACAAGCGUUAUCCGGAUUCACUGGGCGUAAAGAGCGUUGAGGCGGUUCCGUAAGUUGGGCGUGAAAGCUCCGGGCUUAACUCGGAGAUGUCGUUCAAUACUGCGGGGCUUGAGGACAGCAGAGGAAGGUGGAAUUCCCGGUGUAGUGGUGAAAUGCGUAGAUAUCGGGAGGAACACCCGUGGCGAAGGCGGCCUUCUGGGCUGUUCCUGACGCUGAAGGCGAAAGCUAGGGGAGCGAACGGGAUUAGAUACCCCGGUAGUCCUAGCUGUAAACGAUGGAUGCUGGGUGUGGGGGGUGUAAAUUCCCUCUGUGCCGAAGCAAACGCGUUAAGCAUCCCGCCUGGGGACUACGGCCGCAAGGCUAAAACUCAAACGAAUUGACGGGGGCCCGCACGAGCAGCGGAGCGUGUGGUUUAAUUCGAUGCUACACGAAGAACCUUACCUGGGUUUGACAUGCACGUGGUAGGGAACCGAAAGGGGACCGACCUUCGGGAGCGUGCACAGGUGCUGCAUGGCUGUCGUCAGCUCGUGCCGUGAGGUGUCGGGUUAAGUCCCGUAACGAGCGCAACCCUUGCCCUUAGUUACAAGUGUCUAAGGGGACUGCCCGGGACAACUGGGAGGAAGGUGGGGAUGACGUCAAGUCAGCAUGGCCUUUAUAUCCAGGGCUACACACACGCUACAAUGGCCGGUACAAUAGGUUGCGAAGUCGUGAGGCGGAGCCAAUCCUCAAAGCCGGUCUCAGUUCGAAUUGCAGUUUGCAACUCGACUGCAUGAAGCUGGGGUUGCUAGUAAUCGCAGGUCAGCUAUACUGCGGUGAAUACGUUCCCGGGCCUUGUACACACCGCCCGUCACGUCAUGGAAGCUGGCAACGCCUGAAGCCGGUGAGCUAACCCGAAAGGGAGGCAGCCGUCGAGGGUGGGGCUG
rnacentral:rRNA from 1 species